AGAGGAUAAAGGUGUAAAUUGUCUGUAAUAUCUAAGAAUUCUGUUUAGUCUGAUACCAAACAGCAAAAUCAUUACAUACACUUACAAGGUUUAGUCUAAAGGGUGUAAAUAGAGAGACUGUAAUACCCAUACAGUGCACUCUUUAGCAGUAACUUUAGAGAAAGACUUCAUAAACUUUGCCAAAGUAAUCACCUAGUCAUUAUACUGACUCAUUAACAUCAGUUACACAGCAAUAUCUAUCUAAACGUUUGCUAAUAUUAGCUAAAAUAGACCUUUUUCAUGUCAUAGUGUAGCCCUGUCUGAUAUCACAAAUAGCCUAUUUUUCUAAUCAAAGUCCGUGCAGGGAGGAGUUACAUAAAGUAACGUAACAAACAUAUUUAUUUUAACUCAAACCAUGAUCUUUUCCUAAACCUAACCAAGUAGUUUUGUUUCAAUUCACAACGUUAACCACGUGUUUAAAACUACUACUUAUCUACUUCAGGGAGGCCCUGGUAUUGUGCAUGCUGG